UGAGCUGUGUUUCUCUUGAAGCAGCAGUGUCUGAAAGGCUCUGGUUUACUACCUAGGCUCUUGCUACCUAGUCUCUCUUCUUGUAAGUUGUAUCCAAUUGUGGCAGGGCACUGUUUUUGCCUGCCAUUUUAAGGGCUGAGCUAAGCAGCCUGCAGGUGCUUGAUUGCAGUGGCCAUUUUAGAUCUCUGGCUGCCUAUAUAAACAGAGCAGUUUGCUACUACUAGGAUAGGCAGAAACAUUGUCUGGCUUUAUGCAACAUCCUGGAGAGGAGAGACCAACAGAAGAGAAAGAUUCUGAUGCUAUGUGUUUCAAAAUGUUCUAAGAUACUUCAGCUCCACCUGUUCGCCGGCAGCCUACUUCAAUUAUUCUUGGGAUUCUCUGUCUAGUUUUGCUGAUAGCAACAGGAGUUUUGGGUUACCUGGUUUUAGUCACUGAGCUCAGCUGUGAGAAGGGAAACAUCACCCAGCUGCUGAUGUCCUGCCCAAGCCAGACACCAUGCCUUCCAGGAACUCCAGAGGAACAGCCUCGUGAUGCAGGUAAAUGAUGAGACAGCAGGAGUUGUAUGCUCAGGGGAGAAGUGUCCAGUAUGGUGGGUUGUCCACAAGGACAGUUCCUAUCUCUUUUCUCCUGAAAAAGGAACUUGGGAAAAGUGUCAUUCCUCCUGCAUUUCACAAUCUGCCCAGCUGCUCACCAUUGAGGGUGGAGAAGAGCUGGAUUUCAUAAAAAAAGAAUCAUUUCACUAUUUUGAAGAUCAUGAUGGUGUUUCCCAGUACCACACAUUCUGGAUUGGGCUGUCGUAUGAUCCUGGAUCCAGGAAGUGGGUUUGGACAGAUGACUCGGAUCUCUCCUCUGGCUUGUUUGAUCUCCAAGACUUCAGUCUUCAGAAUGAUCAGGACAGAGUUUGUGCCUAUAUCCAAGGUGGGAGAGCUAAGGCUGGAGGAAUCUGCAGAGAAACUCACUUCUGCAUUUGUGAGAAGAGAACGAAGGAACCGGUAGGGACACGUUAACAGGAAAACCCCACCAGUUGUGCUGGUCACAGGGGACGAAUCAAAGCCAUAACUGCAGCAGGGAGAGGAGUGAGGUGGUGUGGAAGUGCACCCUUCAUCCAAGAACCUGGAAUCCUCUGCUGUCAUCUUCAGGGAGUACGAGAAAAAACUAAAUCGCAUUAUGAGGCAGUGGAGCUGCUAGCUCGGGGUAGGGUGGGAUGCCACAUAGGCACAGGCCAACAUCAUCUAUUUCUGUCUCCUUGGGAAUGUCUUGUGCAUGCCUAUUUCCUGAAUCGGUUCUCUGCCAUCCCCUGCUGGCAGCAGCAGCCUGCUGUCAUUCCACAUCAUCCAGAGGCCUACACCCCCCAGGAAGAGCUGGGGGAAGCAACCAGAGAGCUAGGGGAAAGAUUGGGGAGCUGGGGAAAUGGUCAGGGACCUGAACAUUCCCCCAGCCCCUGGCUCAAUUCCCCAGCUCCUGGGUUGAUUCCCCAGCCCCAAGUACAAUUCCUCAGCUCUCUGAUCAUUCCCCCAGCUCUUUCUGGGGUUCACGGGGUCCCAGAUCAUAAUGCCGGGUUUUUGCAGGCUGCCACUGCAGGCUGGACCCAUGUGUCCUUGCCCAGACCAACCCACCACAAGAAAGAGCAGACAUUUGAGAUGUCUCAAGUGUUGGCAGUGUUAGAUCUAUGAGGGACCUGGGAGAUUGAUCAGUGGGAAAAGGGAAUUGUAGUGGACUGCAGUUGUAGGAUACACUGGAGAGUCAGGUGAUACAGAAAUGUAUCUAAUGGAUAGUGUCUGCACUUGUGCAGUCUGUGUAUUUUACAUGGGACUGUGGGGACUAGAGACACCUCUGGGUACAGUACUUGGUUGUAAGAAAGGGAGGAGAAAACCUCCAUUCUACAGGUUUGAUUCCUGGAGGAAUUUCUGGAGAUUAAUUUUUUUCUGAAGAGAAGAUUAGCCUGUACACAAGGUUCAUGGAUUCAUAGAUUCAUAGAUGUUUGGGUUGAAAGGGACCUUAGUAGAUCAUCGAAUCCAACCUGCUGCCCUGAGCAGGAAAGAGCUCUGGGGUCAGACAACCCCAGCCAGGUGCACUUCUAGCCUCCUCUUAAAGACCUCCAAGGUAGGGGAGAACACCACCUCCCUUGGAAGCCCUUUCCAGAUUUUGGGAACCCUUACAGUAAAGAAGUUUUUCCUGAUGUCUAACCUAAAUCUGCUCUCUGUCAGUUUGUGGCCUUUGUUCCUAGUUACUCCAAGAGGUGCCCUGGUGAAAAGAGCAUCGCCAAUUCCUUGCUGUCCCCUACUGAUGAAUUUGUAGGAGGCCACAAGAUCACCUCUCAGCCUUCUCUUGUGGAGGCUGAAGGGAUCCAGGGCCCUCAAUCUCUCCUCAUAGGGUUUUGCCUGCAGCCCCCUAACCGUACAAGUGUCCAUACUCUUAACCCUCUUGAGGUUGUCCACAUCCCUCUUGAAGUGUGGAACCCCAAACUGGACGAAGUACUCCAACUGCAGCCUGGCCAAUGCCGCAUAAAGGGGAAGUGCCACCUCCUUGGACCUGUUUGUCAUGAACCUGCUAAUACAUGAUAAAGUGUGGUUACCUUUACUGCUCAUUUCAUCACAUUAAUAACUCAUGUUCAUCUUUCAGUGAACAGUAACUCCAAGAUCCCUUUCUGCUGUUGUGCAGGUUGACCACACCCCACUUUGUACUAUAUGCUAUGACUGUGCGUGCAGGGGUCCUGGGCUGGGAGACUCUCCUCCAAGACAUCUAGCCUUGAGCAUCUCUGUCCCUCUUAUGUUAGGCUGUGGCCUCAGUGUCCCCCACUUCCAAUACACCCAAGGAAGAGAGCUCCCAGCCAUGUGUCCUGGUGAACUGCGCUCAGGUGGAGGGACCUACACUGGAAGCACUAUGACUUUGUAUUCCAGGAUUUAGCUCCGAGGCAUGCAAAUUUGAACAACACCACUUGUGCAUUUGUCCAAGGCAGGGCAGCUAGCAUAGUCAGGAGUAAAGAAACUCAAUUCUAUAUUUUUGAAAAGAUGAAGAAUCUAGCAGGUGAAUAUUUAAUGGAUCAAUCCAGCAGAGAGAUGGUGCACUGGAUACUGAUGGGGGAGAUGGCUGCAGGAGUCAGGUGGGUGUGGGAGUGCAGAAAUGAAAAGGAUCCACCAGUAAAGAGCCUGGAUUCUUGUGAUGCUAUUUGCAGGGAUAAGAGAAGAGAUUAUAUCACAUCCUCUGGCUGUGGGAUCUGUGAACUGCAGGAGCCCUGAGGGCAGGCCUUUCUAGAGCUCCCCUGGGGAGACCCCAUAUAUUCUACUUUCUACAGAAAUGUAAACUUCAUUCUGAAAAUAAACCAUC